AACCCACCCAUUUUCAGCAGAAACCAGAUGCCUGAUGGGCGGUCCUGUUUUAUCUAUCCUCCUAUCCCCUUUUCUUCCCUGCUGCUGUCUUAGAAGGGAACCUGUACUCAACAAAUUAAUUCUAUCCAUAUCCAUACUUUAGUAUUUAUCUCUAAAAGAGGACUCUGAUUUGAAACAUAAACUCACAAUGUCAUUAUCAUCUGAAAAUAUAGCAUUGUCAUCUGAAAAUACAACAAUAACUCCUUAAUAUCACAAAAUAUCCAGUUAGUAUUCAGUUUUUCCAGGUGUCUCAUAAUGUGUUUGAUUACAGGGUUUGUGUUUUCUUCCCUACAGCUUGUUUGUUGGGCUGGGAUCUUGAUGACAUCUUUAAGCAGCAACUGCUUGAUCGGUCCCCUAAGCCUCUUCAGCUACGAGUUCCUUUCUAUCUGUCUUGUUUUUCUUUACACGCGAUUUGUUGAAGAAAUGGUGCUUUGUUCUACAGGGUUUCCUGGAGUCUAUUUCUGAGGGCACCCCUGUGUCGUUGUUGGCCAUAUUUCUUUGUUCUCCAAAUUUCCUACGAUACAGUAAUGUUUCCUGCUUUUGGAAGUUAGAGAAUCAUUUUUCCAGAAAGCCAAGGUUCCUUCUAUUGUCUCUCUUGGCUGACUCGCUGGUGCCUGUGACGUCAACGACCAGCUCCAUAAUGAAUUCCAAGUGUCCUCUGGUCCGCAUCUCUCAUCGGCGUGUCUCCAAACGGCUGCCCAACAUCGCCCUCAGAUGCCUCACUGCCACUGCAUCCUGCAAGUCUGGUCCACUUCUAGCGAGGACACCCUGUCCAUCACAUCACGCAAGUCAAAACUGUAGAAGUUCUUACUGACCCCUCCCCCCCCUCCCUCCCAGACAUCUGCUUAUUCCCAAUGCCUGUUCUACUUCCUGUGUAACUCUCUCAUCGCUCCCCUUAUUUCCAGCUGCCCUUCACCCACUUUCCUGGUUGGAUACCAACCGCUCACAGCUAAGCUGCCUCCCUAACUAGUCCCCCUGUCUUCCUCUGCUCUUGUACUUCUUCAGCAUAUACCCCACGUGGCCACCUAAACCUUUUUCCUGAUCUCUCUGAUCGUGUCACCCCUUCUUAAAACCUCCGAUAGGUUCCAGCUACGUUUUGGAUAAAGCUGGGGUUCUUGAAGGGCGGCUUCCAAGACUCCAUUCCGUCAGGUACCCCCUGCCCCUGUCCUGGCAGCCCCCGCCCAGAUGACACCUGUCUUCUUUGCACAUCACAUCAGAGGGCUGUGUCCCUGCCCCACCUGCUCUUUGCCCUGCUCUUUGCUCAUCGCUUUCUGGAUGCUGCCCAUCCCCUGUGUCUGAGCUCAGGCACAGACCUGUCUUAUUCACACCUUCCCGGACCCUCAAGCUAGGCCAGGUGUCUUGUCACCUGUCUCAGAGAACUGCUCAUUUGCGCUAACACUCAGAAUAGCUUCUGGUCAGACGUCUAUCUGGCAUUACUGGAUUUGUCUCUCUUGCUAGCCUGGGCCUUCUUGGGACUAGGAACCAUGUCUAUUUUUAACCAGUGUACCCUCAGACCCUUGCAAGGUGCCCCACACAUUGCACCUGCUCAGUAUGUGUUCAAUGAGUGAAUAAAGCCACCAAGGCACCUCCAAAAAGGGCCUCUGAUGUCUGCACCAACUCAUUGGAAUAAUCUAACAUAGGCAGCUCUGGAAAGAAGUAUGUAUUUGAUGCCGCAAAAAGGAAUUCUAACAGAAAAGAAUGCUCGGAACCUUCUAAGGCCCAUAUAUGAGAGAGAUGAAGUCUAGCUUGUCAGUUUCAUGAUGAGUUUGAUGUUUCUUCUCCUGGAGGAUUGUGACUAAUGUAACAUGACCGCAGAUAUAAUUAGACCUGGUGUUUGCGCCUUUCCUUUUGCACUUAAUCAGUUUUGAGGGAAGUAAAUCUUGAAUCCUAAUCUAUCAUCAGGGUAGAUGCUACAAUUGUGAUGACAUCAUAGCAAGAACGACAUAGAAUAUUUACAGGUGAGCUUUCCGGUGGACGCGCAUGCAACAUCUCCUCUGUUCCGCGUUACUCUAACUCCGUGAUAAUUAUCAGGCUGGUUAUUUGUUAAAACAAGGUAGAGACAUAUUCCAGGCAAGAACUGGGUGCCGUCGCAUGAUAAGCUGCUCUAAGCAGAAAAUAAUGAAUACACUGAGAUUUGCUCCCAGCGAUUCAGAACUAAUCCUGAACGAAUAAUAAACUAGGUCAUACAGUUAGGCCUACAGAGAAUAAGUACAUCCUCUGAGCCAUUAAGACCUCUGAAACCAGUACUGCUUCAGAAUGGGAGGAACUAGUUAAUUUCCACGUGCGGGGAUGACCUCGGGAAACCUCAGUCAGAUUUCAGAAAUGUCACAAGUAAAUUGAACGCCGGGGUCUUGGAUUAAGCAAGGGUCAAGAACACAGUGGGAAGAGGAGGAUCGUGUGUGUGCGCGCAUGCGUGUGUGUGCUGGCCAAGAGAAAAUUUGCAGGUAGAUUUUAGGCCUUCAAUCUGAGCACAUAACUCCUGUUGAGAGCAAUAGGAAUUGAACACCCAGACAGAGAGAGAAAAAUGCCAACCAAUCCCCAGUGCAGGGUGUCAAUUAGCUACAUAAAAGAAAAUAGAAAAUAGAACCAGGGAUUGGUUAGGUGAUCCAAGAGAAGGAACGCAUCUCGAAACAUUCACAAGCAUCCCCCAUUAAAAAAUGGGGAGACGGAGACAUGGAAGAGGGCAGAUGAGGCCGGAAAUCAUCCUCUCAACCCUCUCAACGCCGACGAUGUGACACCAUUCUCCACGCGCGGUGCGUGACCGAAGAGAUCUGCUGCUCCUGAUUUGUAUGCUUGGAACAUUUUUCUGGAAUUGGAGACACACCAAUGGACACACCAAUGGACAUUUUUCUAGAAUUGGAGAUGCAGACUGACAGAGCUAAAUAAAGAAAGUUAGUACAUGAA
rnacentral:lncRNA from 1 species